AUUACUUUAGCCUAAGUUGAGGGGGCGCAUGCGCAAGUGCUGACCCAGACGCUGGCGUGUUCGAGUUUGUUUGUUUUGUCUUAUAGUUGUCUUA